GAUGAACGCUAGCGGCAGGCUUAAUACAUGCAAGUCGAGGGACAGCACAGGUAGCAAUACUGGGUGGCAACCGGCAAACGGGUGCGGAACAAGUACACAACCUUCCUUUAAGUGGGGGAUAGCCCGGAGAAAUUUGGAUUAAUACCCCGUAAUAUAGUUGAAUGGCAUCAUUUGAUUAUUAGAGCUACGGCGAUUAGUGAUGGGUGUGCGGCUGAUUAGAUAGUUGGCGGGGUAACGGCCCACCAAGUCUACGAUCAUUAGCUGAUGUGAGAGCAUGAUCCGCCACACAGGCACUGAUUCCCGGGCCCGACUCCUAUCGCAGUCAACAGUAAUGCAUAAUGGUCAAGGGAUUCAAGUCUGAACCAGCCAUGCCGCGGGAUGUGUUAAAUCCCUCUUGAUUGUAAACUUCUUUUAUUUUGUACGAAAAAGGGCCUUUCUAGGUCAACUCACGGUACCAGAUGAAUAAGCACCGGCUAACUCCGUGCCAGCAGCCGCCGCAGUAA
rnacentral:rRNA from 1 species